AGCGCUACCGGAUCGACCGCGCGCGUCACCACCAGAUAGUCACGCAGCGCCGUGCUGUGCCGGUUCUC
rnacentral:sRNA from 1 species